ACUGACCUGUGAGUGGUGGUUCAUGGGCAAAUGAGUGGAAACGUUAUUAUCCCUUGUCCAGAGGAAACUGGGCAGUACCAGAAGCACCACCUGUGGCACCCGGAGCUGCUCAGAGGAAGGUCUGAAAAUCACAAACCUCAGACUAACCCCUUCAUUUGAGAAACUGGGGCCCAGAGGGCUGAAGUGACUUUUGCAGUGUCAUGAAAUUGUCAACCAAAGGACUGAAUCCCAGCGCACUGUGCUUUCAGCUGUUUUAUCCUAUAUUCCUGAAGGAUAAGUUCUAUAGAAUAGAUUAGCUCCUAUCAGUGGGUAGCCCUCUAGGGAGAGAACUGUCAGAGGGUUUUGUUCACACCUUGUUUCAAAUGCUGCUGCUCCUUCAGGACUGUGGACACGGAGACCUGCUUCCUAAGACUUCCCUCCCCACUUGGCAAUCAUCUUGAAUUUGUAUUAGAAGUAAGGAAAUGGGACUGCUUUCUCCAAAUAUUUAUAAUGACUUUAUUGCUCUGAAUUGCCACACAUCAGAGAGAACUUUUAACCAUUAGGGGUCUUGACUUCCUAUUUGUGAAAAGUGGAGUGACUCUGAUCAAGAAGGCUCAACUCCUUUUGGUUGGAGAUCACAGGAAUGGCAUCAUGUCAUGAUGGCCAUAGGGGAGCCACACCAGCUGUACUGUCCCCAGUGGAAAGAGCCAGGACCCAGGACCCAGGGCAGGCAGUGACAGUUUCCCAGGGAACCCCCUGUCGAAGACCCACUAAGAUACACUUCCUCCAGUGCUGUAGGUGUGGCCUAUCCCCAUUAUGAGGAUCCCAGUCAGGCUCAGCAAUGGCAACACCAGAUUUGCUUCUGGAGUUCCAGCUGGAUCUUCUAGAUGAAGCUGGGACGAUGAAUGGAAAAGAUACAAAGUGAAAAGUUGAGUCACAUGGAGGGGAUCCUCUUGGACCACCCUUAUCCUGGCUUCUUUUCCACCUGCCUCUAGGAAGCUUAAGCUUCUAGCUUUCCUAAACAAGGAUGGUGUCUACAUUUGUGAACCAGAGAGGAACUCUGCAUGAAGUCUUGAAAGCAAUCUUCAAGUAUCUUCACCAAGAGUGGAUUCCAUCUCAAGAAACUACUUUCUUUGCUCAUCCAUAAGAAGCACGGCCUCAUGUGUGACAGUUUUCUCAUGAGAUUACAGCAAUUCAGUCACAUCUUCAGGCUCCACUUCUAAGUCUAGUCCUCUUGCUGUUUAUACACCACACUGACAAUUACUUCUCCUGAAAUCUUCAACCCAUCAAAGUCAUCCACAAAGGCUGGAAUCAACUUCCAUAUGCUGCAGAUGUAGCCAUAAAAAAACAUGAAAAAAAUUCAGUAAACCAUACUGUAAAUAAAUAAGUUAUCAUCCAGGCUUCAUUAUUCCAUUUAUAUAGCACAGGUAGAGUGGACUUAAUAUAAUUCUUAAGGGCCUUAGCUUUUUGGAAUGGUAAAUGAGCACUGGCUUCAAUUUAAUGUCACCAGCUGAAUUAGCCCCUAGCAAGAGAGUCCCUUCAAAACUAGACAAUGACUUAUCUUUUCUAGGUUUGCAAGUCCCAGAGAGCAUCAUCUUCCAACAUAAAGCUGUUUUGUCUACACUGAAAAUCUUUUGUUUAGUAGAGCAACCUUCAUUAUCUCAGCUAGAUCUUCUGGAUAACUUGCUGCAUUUUCACAUCAGUAUUUACUGCUUCACUCAUACUUUUAUGCUAUGGAGAUGGAUUCUCUUUUUAAACCUCAUAAACUAAGCCCUCCUAGCUUCAAACUUUUCCUCUACAGCUUCCUCACAUCUCUCAGCCUUCAUAGAAUUGAAGAGAGUUAGGACCUUACUCUGGAUUAGGCUUUGGCCUAAGGAAACAUUGUGGCUGGUUUGAUCUAUCCAGACCACUAAAACUCAUGCCAUAUCAGUGAUAAGAUUGUUUUGCUUUCUUAUCAUUCGUGCGUUCACUGGAGUAGCACUCCAUGUGUUCACCAGGUGGCUUCUGUGGCAUAUGGAAGUUCCCAGGCUAGAGAUCAAAUUGGAGCUGCAGUUGCCGGCCUAUGGUGCAGCCACAGCAUUGCCACAUCUGAGCCAUGUCUGUGACCUAUACCACAGCUCACAGCAACACCAGAUCCUUAACCCACUGAGUGACAUGGAUACUAGUCAGGUUCACUUCUGCUGAACCACGAUAGGAACUCCUCUUCUUUUCACUUGAAUACUUAGAGGCCACUGUAGGGUUAUUAAUUGGCCUAAUUUCGAUAUUGUUAUAUCUUAGGUUGGGGGAGAGAGAGAGUGAGGAAUGGCUUGUAAGUUGAGCAGUUGGAACAUACACAUUUAUCAAAUUUGCCAUCUUAUAUGGUCAUAGUUUGUGGAACCCUAAAACAAUUGCAAUAGCAACAUCAAAGAUCACUAAUUACAGAUAACCAUAACAAAUAUAAUAAUAAUUUAAAAGUUUGAAAUAGUAUUACCAAAAUUUGACAUAGAUGCAAAGUAAGGACCUCUUGGAAAAACAGUGACAAUAGACUUGCUCGACACAGGGUUGCCAAAAAUCUUGUUUGUAAAAUAUGCAAUAUCUGUGAAAGCUAGAGUUGCUAUACUACUAUCAGACAAAAUAGAUUUUAAAGCAAAUAAUGUUAAUAGAGAGAUAAAGAGGAAAGUUUUCUAAUGAUAAAAGAGUCAGUCAAACAUGGAUAAAUGGCAAUUAGAAAAUAUGCAUCUAACAAAAGUUCCAAAAUACACAAAACAAAAACUGACAGAAUUAAAGAGAGAAAUAGACAAUCCAACGAUAAUGGAGACUUCAAUAUCCCACUUUAACAAUUGCUAGAACAACUAGGAAGAUCAACAAAGUAACAGAAGACUUGAGUGUUAUAAACCAACUAGACUUCACAGACAUUCAUAGAAUGCUUCACCCUAAAACAGUAGACUAAACAUUCUUAUCAAGUGCAUUGGGCAUACUUUCUAGGAUAACAAAGCAUGUACUAUGCCAUAAAAAAAAGCAUGUAUAUGUAUGUGUGUAUCUAUAUCCAGCAUGCAACAAGUGUUCUCUGACCACAUAAAAUGAAACCAGAAAUUGAUAAUGGCAAUAAAUUUGGGAAAUUCACACAUACGCAAAACUUAAAAUAUUACUAAAUAAUAUUUAGUAAAGAAGGAACAAUGAGGGAAAUUAGAAAAUACUUUGAGAUGAAUGAAAAUGAAGGAACAAUAUGCUAAAACUUAUAGGAUGCAGCUAAAAGUAGUGCUUUAAGGGAUAUUUACAGCUGUAUGCACCCAUGUUAUAAAAGAAUAAAGUUCUCAAGUAAAUAAAUUAACCUUCCAUCAUGAGGCAAUGAAGAAAGAAGAGUAAAAUAAACCUAAAGCAGGAAGAAGGAAGGAAAUGUAAAGAUGAGAGGAGAAAUCUAUAAAAUAUAGAAUAGCAAUAGAGAAAAUAAAUGAAACCAAAAGGGGGUUCCUUUGAAAAGAUCAACAAAAUUGACAAAACUUUAACUGGACUGUCUGAGAAAAAAAAAAAAAGAGAAGGCUCUCAUUACUAAAAUCAGGCAUAAAAGGGGGAAAUAACUAUUAAUAUGAGUGAAAUUUAAAAAAGAAUAUUAGGAAAUACUGUGAACAAGUGUGUGCCAACAAAUUACAUAAAUUACAUGAAAUAGAUAAAUUCCUAAAAAAGAUGCAACUACCAAAGCUGACUAAAGGAUAAACAAAAUCUGAAUGACCUAUAACAAGAGAUAGUAUUAGCACUUCUAAAACUUCUUUCAAAGAGAAGCCCAGACCCAGAUGGUUUUAUUGCUGAAUUCUAACAAAUUUUAAAAAGAAUACCAAUUACUCACAAACUCUUUUAAAAAUAGAUGAGGGAUCACUUCUCAACUCAUUCUAUGAAGUUUUUAUUACCCUAAUACCAAAACCAGACAGACAAUAAAGAAAACUAUAGAACAAUAUGUCUUAUAGAGACAGAAAAAUUCUCAGCAAAAUAUUAGCAAGCCAAAUCCACUGACUCUUAAAAAGGAUUAAACAUCAUGCCUAAGUAGGAUUUAUCUCAGAAAUUCAAGAUGAGUUUCACAUGGUGAAUAUUAAUAUAACGUAUCCAUAGAUUAAAGGAACAAAACCCAUGUGAUCAUCCCAAUAGAUACCCCAAAAGCAUUUGACAAAAUGUAACAUUCUUUCAUAAUUAAAACUUCAGCAUACUAGUAGGGAACUUCUCCAAUGUGAUAAAGGGAUCUUUGAAAAACCCACAGCUAACAAUGUACAGGUUUGCAUCCUAUGAUAUGGGUUCACAUUCACAGAUAUGGAGGGAUGACUACAAGGGACUUUAAUAUCAUGGGUUUUAGUAUUUAUGAGGCAUUUGGGGAGUACUGAAACUAAUCCCUCAAUGAUACUGAAAGAUGACCGUAUUUAGUUGCUUAAGACUGAAAGCUUCCCCUAAGCUGAGGAAAGAGGCAAAGAUACCUACUUUCAACACUGCUUUUCAGCCUUGUACUGGAGGUUCUAGGCAGGGCAAUUAGGCAAGAAUGAGAAAUAAAGAGAUAUUCAUAUUGGAAUGGAAGAAUUCAAACUAUCUAUUUGCAGGUGACAUGAUACUCUAUAUAGAAAAUCCUAAAUAAUUUACUAAACAACUAUUAGAAAAAAAUAAUUAGUUCAGCAAGGUUGCCAAGUAUAAGAUCAAAUAUGCAAAAAUCAACUAUUUCUAUAAAUUAUCAGUGAACAAUCUGAAAAUUAAUAAAAUAAUUCUACUUAUAGUAGCAUCAAAAAGAAUACUUAGGAAAAAAGUGCAAAUUUAUACUCUGAAAAUUACAAAACAUCUUUCCAAUUAAUUAAAGAAGAUCUAAAAAAAAGGAGUAAUUUCAUGUUCAUGGAUCAUAGAUCAAUGGAAUGGGAUGCAAAGUCCAGAAAUAAAUCCUUACAUACAUAAUCAAUUGCUUUUUGACAAAAGUGCUGAGACAAUUCAAUGUGGGAAAGAAUAGUCUGAAUAGUAUAUUUUACAAAUGGUUCUGAGACAACUGGAUAUUUGUAUACAAAAGAAUGAAGUUGGAACAGUUCCUCAUGCCACCAAGAUCAACUCAAAAUCGUUUAUAGACCUAAAUGUUACAGCAAAUCUACAAAACUCCUAAGAGUAUAUAUAACUGAAAAUAAUCUGAAAAGGAAUAUUUAUAUAUUACAUCUAUAUACAGAGAUACAUAUCUAUAUCUGAAUCACUUUGCUGCACACAUGAAACUAACACAAUAUUGUAAAUCGACUAUAGUUCAAUAAUUAAAAAAGAAAAUAUAUGAAUAAAUUUUCAUGACCUUAGGUUAGACAAAGUCUUUGUAGAUAUGAUCAAAAGCACAAGUGAAAAAAGAAAAUAGACACAUUCAAAUUCAUCAAAAUUAAAAACUUUUGUGUUUCGAAGAACAUCAUUUAAAAAAUAAAAAGACCAUAUUCUCUUCUAGGAGUUUUAUGGUGUCUUGUCUUAUGUUUAAGUCUUUAAGCCGUUUUGAGUUUACUUUUGUGCAUGGUAUGAGGGUGUUCUAGUUUCAUUGAUUUACAUGCAGCUGUCCAGUUUUCUCAGCACCACUUGCUGAAGAGACUGUCUUUUUCCUCCUUUAUAAUCUUGCCUCCUUUGUCAAAGAAUAAUUGACCAUAGGAGUCUGGGUUUAUUUCUCAGUUUUUAUUCUGUUCCAUUGGUCUGUAUGUCUGUUUUUGUACCAGUACCACACUGUCUUGAUUACUGUAGCUUUGUAAUAUUGUCUGAAGUCUGGGAGAGUUAUGCCUCUGUUGGUUUUUUCCCCUCAGAAUUACUUUGGCAAUUCUGGGUCUUUUAUGGUUCCGUAUAAAUUUUUGGAUUAUUUGUUCUAGUUCUGUGAAAAUGUCAUGGGUACUUUGAUAGGGAUUGCAUUGAAUCUGUAGAUUACUUUGGGUAGUAUGGCCAUUUUAACAAUAUUAAUUCUUCCAAUGCAGGAACAUGGAACAUCUUUCCAUUUCUUUGAAUCACCUUUAAUUUCUUUGAUUAAUGUUUUAUAGUACCCAAUGCAUAAGUCUUUCACUUCCUUGGCCAGGUUUAUUCUUAUGUUUUUAAUUUUUUUGUGGUGCAAUUUUAAAAGGAAUUAUAUUUUUAUAUUCUUUUUCUAAUAUUUCAUUGUUAGUAUACAGAAAUGCAACUGAUUUCUGAAUGUUAAUUUUGUAUCCUGCUAUUUUACUGAAUUCAUUGAUUGGUUCGAGUAAUUUUUGUGUGGAGCCCUUAGGGUUUUCUAUACAUAAUAUCAUGUCAUCUGCAUAGAGUGACAAUUUUACCUCUUCUCUUUCAAACUGGAACUUUUAUUUCUUUUGUUUGUCUGAUUGCUAUGGUCAGGACUUCCAAUACUAUGUUGAAUAAAAGUGGGUGAGAGUGGG
rnacentral:lncRNA from 1 species